GUGCUUGCUUUGGCAGCAUAUAUACUGAAAUCAGAUCGAAACAGAGAAGAUUAGUACGGUCCCUGCACAAGGAUGACAUGUAAAUUCAUGAAGCAUUUCAUAUUAAA